GACGAACGCUGGCGGCGUGCCUAACACAUGCAAGUCGAGCGGGGUUGAAGCGAGGGGUAACUCGAGUUUCUACCUAGCGGCGGACGGGUGAGUAACGCGUGGGCAACCUGCCUCAAGGACUGGGAUAACAGCUCGAAAGGGCUGCUAAUACCGGAUAAGCCUAUGGCCUCGCAUGGGGCCAUGAGCAAAGGGGAAACCCGCCUUGAGAUGGGCCCGCGUCCCAUCAGCUAGUUGGUGAGGUGAAGGCUCACCAAGGCGACGACGGGUAGCCGGCCUGAGAGGGUGACCGGCCACACUGGGACUGAGACACGGCCCAGACUCCUACGGGGGCAGCAGUGGGGAAUCUUGCACAAUGGGCGAAAGCCUGAUGCAGCGACGCCGCGUGAGCGAAGAAGGCCUUCGGGUUGUAAAGCUCUGUCUGGAGGGACGAAGGAAGUGACGGUACCGUCCGGAGGAAGCCGACGGCUAACUACGUG
rnacentral:rRNA from 1 species